CCUACGGGAGGCAGCAGUGAGGAAUAUUGGUCAAUGGCCGGAAGGCUGAACCAGCCAUGCCGCGUGAAGGUCAGUGCCCUAUGGGCGUUAAACUUCUUUUGUGCGGGAGCAAUAAUGGUCACGUGUGGCCAGACGAGAGUACCGUACGAAUAAGCAUCGGCUAACUCCGUGCCAGCAGCCGCGGUAAUACGGGGGAUGCAAGCGUUAUCCGGAUUUAUUGGGUUUAAAGGGUGCGUAGGCUGUGAGGUAAGUCAGCGGUGAAAUGCCACCGGCAAACGGGGUGAAGUGCCAUUGAUACUGUGCUGCUGGAAUGCGGAUGCGGUGGGAGGAAUGUGUGGUGUAGCGGUGAAAUGAAUAGAUAUCACACAGAACACCGAUUGCGAAGGCAUCUCACGAAGCCGCGAUUGACGCUGAGGCACGAAAGCGUGGGGAUCAAACAGGAUUAGAUACCCGGGUAGUC
rnacentral:rRNA from 1 species